CGUCAAAUCAUCAUGCCCCUUAUGGCCUGGGCUACACACGUGCUACAAUGGUGGCAACAAAGGGAAGCGACCCCGCGAGGGCGAGCAAAUCCCGGAAAAGCCAUCCCAGUUCGGAUUGUAGUCUGCAACCCGACUACAUGAAGCCGGAAUCGCUAGUAAUCGCAGAUCAGCAUGCUGCGGUGAAUACGUUCCCGGGUCUU
rnacentral:rRNA from 1 species